AAUCAUAACUAGGGGUGUCCAGCGCGACUGGACUGAGAUGGGAUGAGUAAAAUGCAUUCCGAACUCUUUGGACCUGAUCUGGCUCGUACCAGCGUGGGGAAGUUUUCAAUCUAUCAA
rnacentral:ncRNA from 2 species